rnacentral:rRNA from 1 species
GUGUCAGCAGCCGCGGUAAUACAGAGGGGGCGAGCGUUAUUCGGAAUUAUUGGGCGUAAAGGGCGCGUAGGCGGCUAAGUAAGUCUCGGGUGAAAUCCCUCGGCUCAACCGAGGAACUGCCUUGGAAACUGCUUGGCUUGAGGCCGGGAGAGGAUGGUGGAAUUCCCAGUGUAGCGGUGAAAUGCGUAGAUAUUGGGAGGAACACCGGUGGCGAAGGCGGCCAUCUGGACCGGUCCUGACGCUGAGGCGCGAAAGCGUGGGGAGCAAACAGGAUUAGAAACCCCCGUAGUCC